CAUCUCAAGUCGAACGUUAGAGGU
rnacentral:siRNA from 1 species